rnacentral:snRNA from 1 species
GUGUCUUCUCGGCCUUUUGGCUAAGAUCAAGUGUAGUAUGUGUAUCGUUCUAACUAUGUAUAUAGUUCUCCAAUCCAUGAACACAGUAUGUGUCUCCAUUUAUUUAGGUGUAUGUUACUUUUAAUCAGCACUUUGUAGUUUUUAACAUUUCUUUC